AUGGUUGUCGUCAGCUCGUGUCGUGAGAUGUUGGUUAAGUCCCGCAACGAGCGCAACCCCUAUUGUUAGUUGCCAUCAUUCAGUUGGGCACUCUAGCGAGACUGCCGGUAAUAAACCGGAGGAAGGUGGGGAUGACGUCAAAUCAUCAUGCCCCUUAUGACCUGGGCUACACACGUGCUACAAUGGGCGGUACAAAGGGUCGCGAACCCGCGAGGGGGAGCCAAUCCCAAAAAGCCGCUCUCAGCUCGGAUUGCAGGCUGCAACUCGCCUGCAUGAAGCCGGAAUCGCUAGUAAUCGCGGAUCAGCAUGCCGCGGUGAAUACGUUCCCGGGCCUU
rnacentral:rRNA from 1 species